GAUGAAGAACGCAGCGAAAUGCGAUAAGUAAUGUGAAUUGCAGAAUUCAGUGAAUCAUCGAAUCUUUGAACGCACAUUGCGCCCGCCAGUAUUCUGGCGGGCAUGCCUGUUCGAGCGUCAUUUCAACCAUCAAGCCCCCGGGCUUGUGUUGGGGACCUGCGGCUGCCGCAGGCCCUGAAAAGCAGUGGCGGGCUCGCUGUCACACCGAGCGUAGUAGAUUUUAUCUCGCUCUGGGCGUGCUGCGGGUUCCGGCCGUUAAACCACCCUUUUAACCCAAGGUUGACCUCGGAUCGGGUAGGAAGACCCGCUGAACUUAAGCAUAUCAAUAAGCGGAGGA
rnacentral:misc_RNA from 1 species